ACUGCAGAGGAAAAUGUAAAAAUGGCAAUUAGUUGUUAGAGGAAUGCUCGUCUACUUGUUGGCUACCAUCGAGGUGUCCUUGAGCAAGGCAUUGGUCCCGCCAUCAUAGCUCAAGUGGCGUGACACUCUGCACACCUCUUUCACAAUGAAUCCCUCCUUGCAAGCCUGCAUGCUUGAUCUGUGUGACGUGUACAACACAAAGUGGAGAGGGCAACUGCGAUGUCACAACCCUCCUGCAGCCAAAGAAUGCCCCGGAGGGUCACAGCGAUGAUGACCAUGUCUUCUCUGUCAACUGUCCAGUCUGAAAGCCGGAAGGAUGCAGCACCACUGUGACGGCCCGCACAAAUAGGAAGAAGGGCUUCCACAAAUAGGUUUCUCCCACAGAGACAAAUAAUUGGCGUGGUAUCUUGGGGCACAAGCGCGAGGAGCCGCAUGGAUUUUGAUGCCAAUCCUGGAGGAAGAGAAGUUACACAUGUCAGCGGGCAUGCGCUUCAAACAGCUCGUGUCUAGGCAAACGCAUUUAAUUAGUGCUGAGCUCACAAUGAGUUGUCACACUGUCAAUAAGUCCCAUUAUGAUGACGGAAUAGUUCCCUUCUAAAUGAAUUAACUUUGUCUUCUUGACAUACAUGAACAUCUUAACCUUUAGUUGAUAGAUUCUAUUCGAUAUCCUCAAAGAAAUAUAACAGCAGAAGAAUAUUAUUCAAUGAUGAAGAAAAUCUACUAAAGUAGUUUGUGAAUAUAUACAUUCUAUAUGAUGAUUGUGCAUGGAUUCCAAGAUUUUACCAAAGUAAACAUCUGUUACAACUUUGUGGAACGUAGUACAAGUACAAAAGUGUGAUUAAUUGCAUACAAGUGUGCGAUUAAUUAGAUUUUAAACAUGUAAUCGCUUGACGGCAUACUUGUAGAAGUAAACAUUUGUGCUAGUGCACAUACCCUCUCAUACGGUGAAUUCUGUUUCAGUAGGUUUUUCCUGACAUUUUUGUAGUUGCACCUUACGACAUAAUCCAUUGUCUCUCGAGAGCUUCCACAGUAUCGGAGGAAUCUCAUCAUUCAAGGGUAUUAAAUCAGAAGAAGGAUCCAAAGAAA